GUGGGAAUGUGAGGGGCUGUUCAAGCAUUGUGGUAUCUGUUCUCAUCAUUCAGGACUGAUCCAGGACUUACCGCUCCACUGAGAGAUGAUGGGAGAAGAUUUUAUCAGCAGAUUUGGGAGAGGCGAAGGUCGAGAGCCAUGCGUCCUCCAAAACACAACCCUGCCAAGCCGCACUGCUUCUUGACACACUGCUCGCUUAAGCCAGAAUCCAGCCUCACCAAUGUGUCGGAGGAAACACUGUACGACUGGUGACAGUAUCAGUGUGCAUACGCCUGACCCGCCACAGGAGUCGCUAGAGCACGAUGGGACAAGGACAUCCCGGCCGGCCAAACCCUCCUCUGACCCGGACGACGCUGGUCCAAUUGUGUGCCGCCUCAUGGGUCUUCCAGUCGCAGCCGGUUGUGACACAGCUCGGGAUCGAAUCCGGGUCUGUAGUGACGUCUCAAGCACUGCGAUGCAGCUUCCAGGAAUUGUGUACAGAUCCUUGCGACAUGGGGCCGUGCAUUAUCAUUCUGAAACAUGAGGUGAUGGCGGCGGAUGAAUGGCACGACAAUGGGCUGCAGGAUCUCAUCACAGUAUCUCUGUGCAUUUCAAUUGUCAUCGAUAAAAUGCAAUUGUGUUUGUUUUCUGUAGCUUAUCGUUGUCCGUAGCUUAUGCCUGCCCAUACCAUAACUCCACUGCCACUAUGAUGCACUCUGUUCAAAACAUUGACAUCAGUAAACCGCUCGCCCACACAACGUUGUGAGGCCGUUUGGACGUACUGCCAAAUUCUCUAAAACGAUGUUGGAGGUGGCUUAUGGUAAAUUCUCUGGAAACAGCUCUCUUGGACAUUCCUGCAGUCAGCAUGCCAAUUGCAUGCUCCCUAAAAACUUGAGACAUUUGUGGCAUUGUGUUGUGUGACAAAACUGCACAUUUUAGAGUGGCCUUUUAUUUUCCCCAGCACAAGGUGCAUCUGUCUAAUGAUCAUUCUGUUUAAUCAGCUUCUUGAUAUGCCACACCUGUCAGGUGGAUGGAUUACCUUGGAAAAGCAGAAAUGCUCACUAACAGGGAUGUAAACAAAUUUGUGAACAAAACAUUUGCGAUAAAUACGUUUUUUUGCGUAUUAAACAUUUCUGGGAUAUUUUUUUCAGCUCAUGAAACAGAGGACCAACACUUUACAUGUUGCGUUUAUGUUUUUGUUCAGUGUAUAUUGCAAUAUUACUAAAUAAAUGUGACAAUUUCUACGCUAGAUUAAAUACAAUAACACACACACACACACACACACACACACAUUCAGACAGGACAGACAUUUCCAGGCGAUGUAUUGAAAUGAUUUCCGGAUGCACUUAAGACAUGUAUAAAUACUGUAGUGUGUGGCCUGAGAAAAUAACCUUUAAUUCUGUUGAAAAUGUCCAAAACCAGAUUUAUUUUUAGCCUUGUUUACUUCCCAUAUUAAGGUCACUUAUAAUGGGAUGGGAGACAAGACGCCAUGUUGUUUGACUGGAGUCCGGAGGCUAGUGGUGAUGACCCCAGUGGAAUUUGUUUUGGACGGUGAGAAGAUCUUAGUUCAACCUCAACAGAAUCCAAUACAGACAAAUAAACGCUCCUCUACUAAA